UGCAUUCAAUCAGAAGCCUCAUUUAAGGGCUGGCUACCACGGAGGAAGGAUAUCUACCUGGAGAUCCCUCCUUUUGGAAUUUUUCAUAAGCCCUAAUCCUUGGGAUGGACCCUGCUGGCCCAGCUGGCUGCAUGGGAGACCAGAAGGAGCAUUGCUUCUGACUGGGUCCUAGGCAUCAAGCAGAUCAUACAGCUGCCAUCACCACUUAGAAUAAUGUGAACAAGAGGUAAACUGUAGAGGCAGCAGACUAUAGAAAGUCUCUCAUAGUUCCCCUUGCAUGAGGGGCUGUACGACUCCUGCACGCAAUGAGGAAGGCAGAAUAUUGCAAGUUCUCUGCUUAAUGUUUUGACUCAUCCAUGUAACAGAGAAAUGAAGAAUUUUAACGUGGUCCAAAGCAAGAGCUCUGGAUGAACUAUAAUCUGCAAUUGCUUCAGAUACUCCAGCACCUUUGCCAGCAUAUCCUCGUCCAGAUACUGCCUGUUUUGCGUGUCAUCGGUGUCCCCAGCCAUGGAGAGCCUUUUGCUGAGUGAAGCCAGCCUCGCAGCCUCCUGUGGU